ACUGUGGGGCAACCUGCCUAUAAGACUGGGAUAACUUCGGGAAACCGGAGCUAAUACCGGAUACGUUCUUUUCUCGCAUGAGAGAAGAUGGAAAGACGGUUUACGCUGUCACUUAUAGAUGGGCCCGCGGCGCAUUAGCUAGUUGGUGAGGUAAUGGCUCACCAAGGCGACGAUGCGUAGCCGACCUGAGAGGGUGAUCGGCCACACUGGGACUGAGACACGGCCCAGACUCCUACGGGAGGCAGCAGUAGGGAAUCUUCCGCAAUGGACGAAAGUCUGACGGAGCAACGCCGCGUGAACGAAGAAGGCCUUCGGGUCGUAAAGUUCUGUUGUUAGGGAAGAACAAGUACCAGAGUAACUGCUGGUACCUUGACGGUACCUAACCAGAAAGCCACGGCUAACUACGUGCCAGCAGCCGCGGUAAUACGUAGGUGGCAAGCGUUGUCCGGAAUUAUUGGGCGUAAAGCGCGCGCAGGUGGUUCUUUAAGUCUGAUGUGAAAGCCCACGGCUCAACCGUGGAGGGUCAUUGGAAACUGGGGAACUUGAGUGCAGAAGAGGAAAGUGGAAUUCCAAGUGUAGGUGGGGGGG
rnacentral:rRNA from 1 species